CAAAAAUAUGAACAUGGAAAUGCAAAUGAUGAAAUGCCCGUUUAUAUGUAUGAAUACUCUUUAUGUGUGAUAAUCAAUGUAAAGAGUGAUCAUAUAUACAUAUAUGCGUGCGCAUUGUUUUAGCACGCGCAUUAAGGGACAUACAUAUGGUAUUAUUAUUAUAAUUUUCCAAAAAUAAAAGUUUACCUUCUUUAAUAGCCAAAACUCUUGAAUGAAAUGUCAACACCCGACACGAUCAGAUGAUACACUUCUGUGCUGGGAUACCCGUAAAUGACCACGUCACGCAGGAUUACAGAAGCUCUGCUGGAUUGUGUACGACAGCCACGCAAAGUGCAGCAGCGACCUAAGAAAUUGUGGCAAUGGUUUUGUUUAAAUCUAAGAGCUGGUGCGGCACAUGAAUAAACAGAUGAAUCGACCUUAUGCCCCGCUUCCUUCACCGAUCGUUGAACUACGAGCAAGCAUCAUUAGUAGUAUUGUUGUUAUUAUAUUGUUAACACCCAUAAAAUGCGAUUGCAUCAUGUGUCGCAUAAGAAACGUGAAACUUGUUGACUUGGACAUGCAAACGCAAAAACCUAUUAAAAAUGAAAUGGUUAUCGUGUUGAAUGAGUUAAAAUUGAUUAUGUAAGAUUAUAUUAGUAACAUUUAAUCAAAUAACUUUGCCUGGUUAAAACCGAUU
rnacentral:sRNA from 1 species